rnacentral:lncRNA from 1 species
CAACCGGCCUAAGAUUUGCUAGGUCUCCUAAGACUCAACCCUAGGCUCUGAUACCAAACUAAUCUGUUACGCUGCGAGACCCAGCGGAAGCCCGCCUGGGACGUGCCCAGACCCGCCAUAUGUCUAAAACAUACAUGGCGUCUAAAGAACAACGAUAAAAGAGCAAUAAUAAAAGAACAUCUAGAAGUAUCAGAGCAAUAUAAGUCUAGAUUUCUACAAUGAAGGGAAAGAACAAAAAGCCGAAAAUCCAUUAAAUCAAAGCAUAAAGUAGUACAAUGAAAAUCCCAAAUACAAAACUAAGCACAAGGAGUACACAGGUGGUCUCUACAUAUGGUACAAAAUCUUUCUCUCACACAAAUACAGUAAAUGAAAGAGUAAACCACCUAAGGUAAAGCGAAAUCUCCGCUAGCUAGCUAAGCGGCACCCUUGCCGCGAUCCGGUGCCUCCGCUGGUGCCAAAGGCUCUGAAAGAAACCAUAAAACAGGGGGCGUGAGAAUUAUUAAAAAUAGUUCCCAGUGAGCAAUUACUGACUUUAGUUGUAAUAUACCAGAUUUUGGUAAAAGAAAAAUAAAAAUAAAUAAAAAUAGUGUGGGAUACUAUUUUUAUUGGAUUUAGAGAAGUAAAACAUAAGUCAGAAUUGAUUUGUGCUGAAGUCGGAAUGAAAACAGAAGAUUUAGAAUUUUCUGUUGGAAACGAGACAGAUAAAUUAGCAGAAAAUGCACAGUCUCAGAAAAUUAUGAAAAUUGGCAGAGAUAUCAGAAAUAUUUAUAUGAGGCUAGAUUUAAAGUUUCAUAUUUUUCUGACACCCGAAAGGUGGAAAAUAAAAUCCCACAGUUAUCUGUUAAAGAUUAUAGUUCGGUAUAGUUUUCGGUAACCGAAUGGGGUCGAAACUGAACCAGUAAUCGUCAGCUUGUUAAGUUAAGUAAAACCGAGCAUGACUGUCAAGUUUGAGCUCAAACGGACAUUCAGAGAGCUCCGACGAAAGAUAUCAGAUUUUAAGUUGCCUGGAGUGAAUAGUGUUUGGUGUUGACUUUAAUUAGAAGCUAAUUAGCUUCUUCUCCUCCAUCAGCCGACCACCAUGGCCGACACACCUCUCACGCACGCAUGGAGGGAGAGAGAGACCUUCAUUUCUCUCUCUAAAUAUCUCUCUCAUCUCUCUAUAUCUCUCUGUAAAAAUUGGAGGGUUGGUGGAGAUCGAGUCUGCGAACGCGUUGGAGGCGACGGAUCGAGCUUUCGUGCGCCCGUUGGAGCGGCGUAUUUUCGUCGCGGCGUUCACAUUGAGGUAAGUUUUUGGGAUUUGGCUUAAUCCUUAGUUUUAAGUGUUCUAAUAGCCUCUAAUGAGCAUUCUAAACAUGUUUGCUCUAUUUAAUUUGGAUUAUUUAGAGGUUAAUUGCAUGUUAGGGCUCCGAAUGGGGUUUUGUAAAAUGUAUGGGUUUGAUCUCAUUUGACCCUCCGUAAACCAAAUUGCUAGGUAAACGAACGCGUUGGCGAAGACGGUUCGGCAAUCCGACGAGCCGUUACAAAGUUAUUAAAGAAAUAGACGUUUAGGCUUCGGGUCCGCCAGGAGGGCCGAGGCGACGUCGCAAAAUUAUGGAAAUGGAUUUGAAGCACCGUGGCACAUAACCGAAGACCUUUAAUAUUCGAAUCGUGGAUCGGAGGCCGUUCGGGUGGUCGCGCAAAAGAUCGGGCCAAACCGGGUUACGGAUGCCGCGGGAGGCCGAUUGCAAGUGUCGACAAGCAAUCGAAAAGCGUUUUGAGGUGGGUUGUGCUCACCGAAGCGAUUAGGUCGCUUUCCAUGCUAAAGUGUAGUAUGUUUACUAUUGAUGCAUGAUAAAGUAUGCUAUUUAAGAAUGCAUGAUAAAGAUUAAAGUAUGCUAUUUGAGAAUGCAUGAUAAAGUAUGCUAUUUAAGAAUGCAUGAUAAAGAUAGAUGCCAAAUGAAUGCAUGAGUUGAUGUUAAUUUACAUGUGCAUAUUAUAGAAAUGCUAAACAGAUGUCAAAUGAAAGUAUGAGAUUUAUGCUAACCGAGAAUGCAUGUAGUAAAUGUUAACGAAUGCAUAAAAUGUUAAGUAAUGACCACCAAUGGAUGACAAAAUAUAUGCAUGUUGAACAUAGAUCGAGUGGCAUUCGAAAUGAUAAAGUGGACACUAGAGUUAGUGUGGGACAACAAAGAAUAAAUGUGAUGUAAAGAAUAAUGAUAAUGGCUAAAGACAAUGUAAAACAAUGUGAUGAUAAUAAUGUAAUGUUGCAUGAUGUGAGUACACAUGCUUAUUAGAAUGAUUAAGAAUCUAAAUAAUCUAUGUGUAUGCAUGAGAUGUAAUGUGAGAACCUAAUGAUAAUGGUUAGAGACAAUGCAAAGUAAAAGAAAUGUAAAGAACAAUGAUUGCUAGAGUGACAAUAUAAAGUGAUGUAAAGAAUAAUGAUAAUGGUUAGAGACAAUGCAAAGUAAAAGAAAUGUAAAGAACAAUGAUUGCUAGAGUGGCAACAUAAAGUGAUGUAAAGAAUAAUGAUAAUGGCUAGAGGCAAUGUAAAGUAAUGUGGCAUAAAGAACGUGUAAAGUUAAAGAAUGUGAAAGCUAAAGAUAGCUUAAAGUAAAGGAAUGUAAAGAACGUGAUUGCUAGAGUUAGCAAAAGUAAAAGAAAUGUAAAGAACAAUGAUUGCUAGAGUGGCAACAUAAAGUGAUGUAAAGAACACUAGAGUUAGUGUGAAACCAUGAUCCAACUACAUAUCCUUAGAGUUAAUGAUUGAUCAUACUUGCUAUGAGUUCCGUGCUCGAGGGCGGUCGCUCCCCCUCGGGCGAUGCGCUCCGGAGUUUGGCAUCCGGGUUGGAGUAGACCCGUAAGGACGGUCCUAGCGGGUGAGUUCCUGCGAUAAUGGACUUAAUGUGAAGCAAGUUAAUGUGGCGAAACCUACGGGUUAGCCAAAAAGAAUCAUGAAUUGGAAAGUGGAUCUUGUAUACAUUAUAAAUUGACUCAAGACUGAGUCGAGUGGCAUAGUUGGCUAAGGUAAAUGUAACCUUAAGAAAGAGUGAUAAUUGAGAAAGCCUUGUUAAUGUUAUAAAGAAUGGCAAAUGUGUAUGAUGAGCCUAAGGUGCGAGUGCCCUUAGUAAAGGAUAAAGAACAAAGAAUAAUGCAUAAAGAAUAAAGCAUAAAGAAUAAAGAAUAAAGAAUAAAGAUUAAAGAAUAAAGAAUGGCUAAUGAUAAAGAAUUUCAUAUUCUAAAGAAAGGCUAAUGGUGAAGAAUGACUAAGAGUUGCAUAAUUUGCAUAUUUGUAAGGCAUGAACAUGUAUUGCAUGAUGUUAUAUGUAUAUAUAUCUGUUGGACUAACAUGUUACAGUGCCUCCUUUGGACCUGGUGGGUUGAGCUCUUCCCUUGGGUGGCUGUACCCACUGAGGACUAUGGACAAUAGUCUCACCCCCGUGUUGUUGUUUUUGGGGGUACAGGUUCACACGCGAGCGGCGCGGCGGCGCGAGGAAAGGGCGUAGCUCCGUAGUUAGCGCCCUACCACAAAGACCAGAUAGCAGCACCCUGAGUCGGCUUCUUAGGGGUAUAAGAAAAGAAAAGAAAAGAAUCGAUGUUGUAAUAUUAUGUUUAGAAAUCGAUUGUAUAUUUGGAAGUUGAGGAUCAAUGUAAUGAAAAAUGCGAUGUAAAAUGAUGAGAUAAAUGAUUGUAAUAAUAUAGGAUGUGUUAUGUUGUUUGAUACCUUCCUUAUGCAAUCGUUGUUGAAAAUUGUUCCUGUUUUGAACCUCUUGUACUUGUAUUGAUUGCGACGCCUUGAACGUACAGGGGAGACUCUGUCCGCGUGCAGGGGAAACCCUGUCCGUUUGGCGGUCUGUUGGCGUGCCCGAAUCCGACCAAAGAGGCGGGCUCGGGGCGUGACAUUAGUGAAAUGCGCCACAAGGUCCAAAACUGAACAAAAGAGAGUAAGUACGAGUAUAAUCAAGAGGAAUAACAACAACUAAACAUAAGUGCUUACUAAACCAUGAUGUCUCAACUCAGCAUGAAUUUGCAUAAUUAAUAGAGCUACUAUAACAUGAAUGUACAUGAAUGUGACUAGCAUGUAUAAGCAUGAAUAUGCAACCAACAGAAUGUCCACAAUGUAGAUAGUAAAAUGUCAUUGUUUACUAUUCUAGUCAAAGUCCAAAUGGCAUGUUCUGUCACUAAGUUCCAAUCAUGUAAGACCCACCCGUAGGCUGUCUGGCCUGCGCCGUGCCUAAUGGCUCCGUAGUAGUCAACAUCCCCACUCUAGGAAUGAGCCUCCCCCACGGCAUCCUAUUUCGGCGCCCAAUCCCGCACGAGCGAGUAUAUUUCGCGAUGGCUAUCUCCGGAGUGCCGGCUUGUAGGGAGCGGCCCUCACAAGCAUGUGCGAAUGAGCACAAUGGCAAGCAAGCGAAAGAUCUAUCUCAAGUACUAAGUCCUCAUGUCUAGAAAUAUGGAAUAUAUGUCACAUAUCCCAAUAGCCUAUCUCUAUGUCAUCAUGUCUAAAACAUGGAAUAUCACUUAUGUCUCAAUGGCCUAUCACUAUGUCAUCGUGUCUAAAACACGGAAUAUAGUCGAUGUCACAAUGGCCUAUUUCUAUGUCUCUAUGUUGCAGUUUCACAGUUUACUAA